rnacentral:rRNA from 1 species
GACGAACGCUGGCGGCGUGCCUAAUACAUGCAAGUAGAACGCUGAAGGAGGAGCUUGCUUCUCUGGAUGAGUUGCGAACGGGUGAGUAACGCGUAGGUAACCUGCCUGGUAGCGGGGGAUAACUAUUGGAAACGAUAGCUAAUACCGCAUAAUAGCAGUUGUUGCAUGACAACUGUUUGAAAGGUGCAAUUGCACCACUACCAGAUGGACCUGCGUUGUAUUAGCUAGUUGGUGGGGUAACGGCUCACCAAGGCGACGAUACAUGUCCGACCUGCGAGGGGGAUCGGCCACACUGGGACUGAGACACGGCCCAGACUCCUACGGGAGGCAGCAGUAGGGAAUCUUCGGCAAUGGACGGAAGUCUGACCGAGCAACGCCGCGUGAGUGAAGAAGGUUGUCGGAUCGUAAAGCUCUGUUGUAAGAGAAGAACGAGUGUGAGAGUGGAAAGUUCACACUGUGACGGUAUCUUACCAGAAAGGGACGGCUAACUACGUG